GUUUUUGGACAUCUGUGACAUCUAUUAAUGUUAAAUCUAGUCUUUCUUUAGCGACAUAAGCAAACUGUUUUUACAUUUAAUGAACAUUUCUGUUUUAUCCAUCCAUCCAUCUUCUUCUGGUUAUCCAGGGCUGGGUCAUGGGGAAAGCAGCCUAGGCAGAGAAGCCCAGGCCUCCCUCUCCUCAGCCACCUCCUCUAGCUUGUCCGGAGGAACACCAAGGCAUUCCCAAGCCAGCCAGCUGAGAGAUGUAAUCUCUCCAGCGUGUCCUGGGUCUGCUCCUGGCUCUACCCUGAGCCCCUCCCGUAUGGCUGAACGUCUCACCCUAUGUAAUGAUGACAUUUCAAUUAUGUGUUUUAAAAAGAGACCACCUAUUUCUUUGAGGCUCUGAAUCAGCACUCCACACACCACAUCAAACUCUUACAAGUCUAGAAGAGCAGCUGUUGGACAGAAAGACAUCAGCUGAGUGGGAAGGAUUUUGACCUGAGAUGUGACUGCUCUGUGCUGUUGCUGAUGACUCCAGUUAAUCCUACAAGACAUGCUGUGACACCAGGAGAGAGGAGUCGUUCAUCACAGAAGGUGUGGUCAGUGAAGAUGGUCACUGGCAGGUCGAAGGUCAUUGCAUCUCCAGCCCACAUCCACUGCCACUGUACUGAAGGGACGUUAAGACUUUCUUCUGCACUUACACUCUAAAAACUAAAACUGAGAUUACUUUAAAUUUUUGAAGCAACACUUUUAAACUAAAGCUUAAACAUAUUAAGUUGAAAUGAAUAAUUGUAGUCGUUACACGAACAUAAAAAAAUGGAGUAAAUAACACUGACAUGCUUGGUCAUGUAACUGAAAUAUAGAUGGUCAGUUAAUCCAAAAUGUUGUUCCAUUUACUUAAUAUUGUAAAAUUAACAUAAUCAAAAUUGUAAUUAAUAUUAAAUAUGAUAAAUGACCUGUAUUUGUACAGCACUUUUCCUAGUCCCUCUGGACCCCAAAGCGCUUUACACUACAUUCAGUCAUCCACCCAUUCACACAGUCGUGAUGGCAGCUACAUUGCAGCCACAGCUGCCCUGGGGUGCAUUGACAGAGUAGGCCUGUUGGUGACCGAGACUGUCGGAGCUGGGGCUCGAACCUGCAACCUUCCGAUUACAAGAAGAACUGCCAACUCUUGAGCCACGAUCGCCCCCUAACAUUCAUAUUUGAAUGGUAGUCUAAGUCUACAAAACCAAACAAAGUAGUUGAGUGUUUCAUAAUACAUGUAUGAAAAAUGACCACAUGUUAACAUUUUUCCAAGUGAAAAUGUAAAUUUCAUAAACAUGGCAAUAACUCGAAAUAAACAAGCACUAAAAAGAAGGGAGCCUUUCCCCUUUUAGCUCAAAGCCUCACUUACGUGAAGGAUGAAUGUCAAACCAGGAGAGCAAACACAAACGCUCAGAGUAUUUAAAAAACAAAAUGAACAAUACAAUGAAAAAGGCUCAUGGUACUCAAUUACUCUACGUUAUCGUGUAUUACUUGCACUUUUCAGUUGUAGUUGCUGUCAAUAAAUAAUAUUGAUUUGAAUAAUUAAUGAUUUUAGUACAAGAUUCUGAGGAGUAUAGAUACCUAUUUCUCAAAUAUUUUGAUUCAAUUUCAAACAAAAAUAUUAAGCACAUGCAAAGAAGGUAUUCUGUGAACCA
ensembl:lncRNA